GAUGAACGCUGGCGGCGUGCUUAACACAUGCAAGUCGAACGGAAGUUUUAAAUGGAAGUUUUCGGAUGGAAAUUUAAAACUUUAGUGGCGGACGGGUGAGUAACGCGUGGGUAACCUGCCGUAUACAGGGGGAUAACACUUAGAAAUAGGUGCUAAUACCGCAUAAGCGCACAGUAUCGCAUGAUACAGUGUGAAAAGCCUUGACGGUAUACGAUGGACCCGCGUCUGAUUAGCAGGUUGGUGAGGUAGAGGCUCACCAAGGAGACGAUCAGUAGCCGGCCUGAGAGGGUGACCGGCCACAUUGGGACUGAGACACGGCCCAAACUCCUACGGGAGGCAGCAGUGGGGAAUAUUGCACAAUGGGGGAAACCCUGAUGCAGCGACGCCGCGUGAGUGAAGAAGUAUUUCGGUAUGUAAAGCUCUAUCAGCAGGGAAGAAAAUGACGGUACCUGACUAAGAAGCCCCGGCUAACUACGUGCCAGCAGCCGCAGUAAUAC
rnacentral:rRNA from 1 species